GCCGGAGUGGUGAAACUGGUAGACGCACGGGACUCAAAAUCCCGCGGGGCUUAGCCUCAUGGGGGUUCGACUCCCCCCUCCGGCA
rfam:Candidatus Schekmanbacteria bacterium GWA2_38_11 gwa2_scaffold_27592, whole genome shotgun sequence.